UACAGAGGGUGCAAGCGUUGUUCGGAAUUAUUGGGCGUAAAGCGCGUGUAGGCGGCUUUGCAAGUCGGGUGUGAAAGCCCUCGGCUCAACCGAGGAAGUGCGCCCGAAACUGCAGAGCUUGAGUACCGGAGAGGAUGGCGGAAUUCCCCAAGUAGAGGUGAAAUUCGUAGAUAUUGGGAAGAACACCAGUGGCGAAGGCGACUUACUGGACACAUAUUGACGCUGAGGUGCGAAAGCGUGGGGAGCAAACAGG
rnacentral:rRNA from 1 species